GGCAACGUGGCUGAGUGGUUAAAGCGUAUGACUAGAAUUCUAGAAUCUUUCCGGAGCUAGGAACUAAGAAAUCAUAUCCCUUCGGGGUCGUAGGUUCAAAUCCUGCCGUUGUCG